GAAUUGCGAUAACUAAUGUGACCCGCAAGUCUUGUGAAUCAUCGAGUAUUUGAAUGCACAUUGCACCCACCUUUCGGUGGGUAUACUUGAUUGAGCGUCAUUUUUCUCUCUCCCAUCUCUAUUAAGUGGUGGGGUAAAUGAGGGUUACUUUUCCAAAGUUCCCUUGAAAUGAAUUGGGGAUAGACUUAGGGUUUACUAAAAUCUUACCAGAUGUGAUAAAUUCACCAUCUGGUAUUCCUAUGACUAUGACACCCAUUUCUUGCGGUCCAAAGGGGGCUGUAAAAUUCAUAACCUUUGACCUCAAUUCAAGUAAGAGUACCCGCUGAAUUUAA
rnacentral:misc_RNA from 1 species